rnacentral:rRNA from 2 species
UACAGAGGCCCCGAGCGUUAGUCGGAAUCACUGGGCUUAAAGGGUGCGUAGGCGGACCGAAACGCGUCCCGUGAAAUCCCACGGCUCAACCGUGGAACCGCGGGGCGAACGAGCGGUCUCGAGGCAGGUAUGGGCGGGCAGAACAGUAGGUGGAGCGGUGAAAUGCGUAGAUAUCUACUGGAAUGCCGAUGGUGAAGACGGCCCGCUGGGCCUGUCCUGACGCUGAGGCACGAAAGCGUGGGGAGCAAACAGG